GCAUUAAUGGGGUAGUGGUAACCUGGGUCGUUGCCAUGCCAUGUGAACAAACAUGUUUCGACCCGCCGGGGGUUCGAUUCCCCCUUAAUGCA